UUAUUGGAGAGUUUGAUCCUGGCUCAGGACGAACGCUGGCGGCGUGCCUAAUACAUGCAAGUCGAGCGGAUCUUCGGGAGCUUGCUCCCGAUGGUCAGCGGCGGACGGGUGAGUAACACGUGGGCAACCUGCCUGUAAGACUGGGAUAACUCCGGGAAACCGGGGCUAAUACCGGAUAAUUCAUUCCCUCACAUGAGGGAAUGCUGAAAGACGGCUCCGGCUGUCACUUACAGAUGGGCCCGCGGCGCAUUAGCUAGUUGGUGAGGUAACGGCUCACCAAGGCCACGAUGCGUAGCCGACCUGAGAGGGUGAUCGGCCACACUGGGACUGAGACACGGCCCAGACUCCUACGGGAGGCAGCAGUAGGGAAUCUUCCGCAAUGGACGAAAGUCUGACGGAGCAACGCCGCGUGAGCGAAGAAGGCCUUCGGGUCGUAAAGCUCUGUUGUCAGGGAAGAACAAGUACCGGAGUAACUG
rnacentral:ncRNA from 1 species